GCUGGUGGUGUCCUGCAGCCGAUGUGGGGAAUUUUCCUUUUUCAUGUUUCCCUGCUGGUGGGAGGUGCUGCAGGACAAASUGUCGAGCAGCCCACUGAGYUGAACGCUGUGGAAGGAGCCUUCAUCCAGGUCAACUGCACGUACCAGACAUCUGGGUUCAACGGGCUGUCCUGGUACCAGCAACGUGAGGGCGGAGCACCCAUGUUUCUCUCUUACAAUGUUCUGGAUGGUGUGGAGAGGAGAGGCCGUUUUUCUACAUUCCUGAGUCGGUCUGAUGGGCACAGUUACCUUCUCCUGAGUGAGCUCCAGGUGCAGGACUCUGCCUCUUAUGUGUGUGCUGUGAGAGACACAAUGGUUAUGUGGCCUCUGAGGCUGCACCAAAAUCCAGGGGCCACAUCAGUGAGAAAUUGUAUUUCCUGUGUAUGUCUGCUGUGA